UAUAUACUGCAGUCAGUUGGUAUUCUGGACACUUUAUUCCUAACAACCGUGUUUAUUGAUCCAGCUUCAGCUUCUACGAUGAAGUCACUUAUUGGUAUCAUUGCAGUUCUUUUGGGAAUGAUAUUUGUUCCAGCCAUUGAAAGUUCAUCUUGUGAAGCCGAUCAACAAGAAGUACUUCGAUUGACUGUGGAAAACCAAGCAAUUCAGCAGCAGCUCGAUAACUGUACAACUGCCCUGCAACAAAGUCAAACAUAUUUUGAACAACUGAGUACGUGUAACAACAAAGUUACCAACCUGACCUCUCAACUUACGAACUGCCAACAAGAAUUACUUUCUUUUACUUCCAUAAAACCGAGGUUUCAAGAGUGUGCCCCUAUAAAUAGCCGUAUAAGCUGCCUGUCUCAGGGUUGUGCUCUUGGUUGUUAUGCUACUGAGUUGAAUGAUGCGUAUGAUAUUUAAGAAGGAGAAUAAAAGUCUCAUAAUUAU